GAAAACCAAGCUAAUGGAGAUGGA
rnacentral:siRNA from 1 species